GAUAAGGAGCUUGCUCCUUUGACGUUAGCGGCGGACGGGUGAGUAACACGUGGAUAACCUACCUAUAAGACUGGGAUAACUUCGGGAAACCGGAGCUAAUACCGGAUAACAUAUUGAACCGCAUGGUUCAAUAGUGAAAGGCGGCUUUGCUGUCACUUAUAGAUGGAUCCGCGCCGUAUUAGCUAGUUGGUAAGGUAACGGCUUACCAAGGCAACGAUACGUAGCCGACCUGAGAGGGUGAUCGGCCACACUGGAACUGAGACACGGUCCAGACUCCUACGGGAGGCAGCAGUAGGGAAUCUUCCGCAAUGGGCGAAAGCCUGACGGAGCAACGCCGCGUGAGUGAUGAAGGUCUUCGGAUCGUAAAACUCUGUUAUCAGGGAAGAACAAAUGUGUAAGUAACUGUGCACAUCUUGACGGUACCUGAUCAGAAAGCCACGGCUAACUACGUGCCAGCAGCCGCGGUAAUACGUAGGUGGCAAGCGUUAUCCGGAAUUAUUGGGCGUAAAGCGCGCGUAGGCGGUUUUUUAAGUCUGAUGUGAAAGCCCACGGCUCAACCGUGGAGGGUCAUUGGAAACUGGAAAACUUGAGUGCAGAAGAGGAAAGUGGAACUCCAUGUGUAG
rnacentral:rRNA from 1 species